UCUCUCCUACGGGGCGCAGCAGUGAGGAAUAUUGGUCAAUGGUCGGGAGACUGAACCAGCCAAGCCGCGUGAGGGAGGAAGGUACAGAGUAUCGUAAACCUCUUUUGUCAGGGAACAAAGGCGGGGACGUGUCCCCGGAUGAGUGUACCUGAAGAAAAAGCAUCGGCUAACUCCGUGCCAGCAGCCGCGGUAAUACGGAGGAUGCGAGCGUUAUCCGGAUUUAUUGGGUUUAAAGGGUGCGUAGGCGGACUGUCAAGUCAGCGGUAAAAUACGGGG
rnacentral:rRNA from 1 species